CCUCUGGAAAAACGCGCCAGGACCGCUAUAUUGAUCGCGUCACGGCGGAGCGAUCCGUCGCGACUAUGGCGAUAAACGAUCAGCGUAAUAAGCCUUUCGGACCCGGGGCGGUACUGGCGCCUCCACCGGAGCCCGUUUCGCGAAGCGGGCUCCGGCGGGGGCGAAAUAGGAUCGACGAGGGUGUAAAGGUUGGUUUUUGCCCGGCAUGAUACCACCGUUAUCGGGUCAACCUUAUAGUUGCCAACGACAACUAUGCUCCGGUGGCCGUCGCCGCGUAAUGCGGUGAAGGUGCUGGGUUCAAGCCCUUGGGGUAGCACUCUAAGGCGGGGCUCGGAGGCGCCUGGCAACAGAAGCCUCCACU
rnacentral:tmRNA from 1 species